UCGAGUGUAAAAAGGAAAUUUGUUUAGACACAUGGUGCAAAUUUAGAUUAAAAAUUCGAUAUUGAAGAGACAACAGAAUUUCUAUUUUUAAUAUUGCACUUUGCAUGUUGCAGAGUAGCAUCCUGAACAACCUGGUGCUUGUUAGACUUUUUAUAUUGGGAAGAAACCUUAAAAAAAAAAUUAACAAAAAAGGCAAAAAUUCCUGGAAACAAGGAUUCUGCUUAUCGAGGGUUAGCAAUUGUUAAAAGCCGAAAAAGACGAAGGCACUAGAAACUGCUUAAUUCCUACAGACAAGUUUACAUUGAAAAGUAUUGCUUGCAUUUCCGGCAAGAAUUUUCUGGCUUAUGAAAAGAGGAAAUCAACUACAAACGCUGUAAAGAUUGACUCCUCUUAAUUUCCUCAAGUCUGAUGUUAGAAGUCCUCCCUCCCCUUUCUGCUUGGUCACAUUAUGCAUUUUAUUUUGACGUCGUCAUAAUCCUAUUAAGAAAAUAGGACAACAAAAAUUGAGGUGACGCCUUCCUUAGAGUUAGUGACGAGCACGUACGGAAGCAUUUUUAGAAAAGAUAAAAAUAUUUUGUUACUAUUUUAAGCAGACUUAAUCGUAUAGUUUUUAAAGAGGAUGUUUACUGUAUUCAUCUCUGAUUACAAUCCGAUGCUAAAUCGAUAUCGUCGCAUAAAUUCGGCAAUCUUCUAUUAGCAGAGUAGCCAUCUUGAAAUUUUAUAUGACGUCAUUUCUUGUUACAAAUAAAAA